rnacentral:rRNA from 1 species
UACGUAGGGUGCGAGCGUUAAUCGGAAUUACUGGGCGUAAAGCGUGCGCAGGCGGUUCGCUGUGUCCGAUGUGAAAGCCCCGGGCUUAACCUGGGAAUGGCAUUGGAAACUGGCGGGCUUGAGUGUGGCAGAGGGGGGUGGAAUUCCACGUGUAGCAGUGAAAUGCGUAGAGAUGCGGAGGAACACCGAUGGCGAAGGCAGCCCCCUGGGCUAACACUGACGCUCAGGCACGAAAGCGUGGGGAGCAAACAGG